rnacentral:lncRNA from 1 species
CGCCGGUCGCCCGCGUCCCGCGACCUCGUCGUUCCCGAGUGAGGGAGCCUGGGCGCGCGGGGGGAGGUGAUGCCUGAUGGCGAGUAACGGCGCCGCGCGAGCUGUGGGCGGAGGUGGCGAGUGGGCAAGCGCCGGGCCGCCCCAUGGAGAGGCGAUCGGAGGGCAACGCCGCGAACCGGCCGGCAAAACUAGGUCAGUCCUAAGCUCGCAUUAUGUUUCGCACUUAUGAUAUAUGUUGUUAUAAUUCGAGUCGCUGCGCGUAGAGAGACGAGGGUGCGGUAAAUAAAUUGGUGAUUGCUACAUGCUAGCUUGUGUUCAUUCUUCCACAUAUGAAGCUGAAAUUCGUAAUUAGGGCAAGAUGUAGCGCAAUUUUGAUCCUACAUAUUACGAUCAGACUACUCUCAUGAAAUGAUUCGUAGUUUCGCACAUGAGUUGCUUCUUAUUGUGUGUUGCUGGGUCUCAAAUCACAAGGAUGAAGAGCCGCAGAGGUAUCAGUAGUACUAGCCUACUAGAAUAGCUGGGAUAUUUGCUUGAUAGAAAAAAUCCCCCUUAGAAUCAGCUAUGCAUGCGAGUGUAUUCUGUUCCUAGGUGUUGUUCCUGGUUACCGUCUCUACAAGGCUCAGAAGGUUUGGUACAGUGGUUAGAUGAUAGCAUCUUUUUGGAUGUAGAACUGUUUAAACUGUAGACAUACUUCUGGAAUUUUAGAUUGUUUGCAUCUCUUCGUAUUCUUGAAAGUACUUACGUACGUAUUUCUUCAUUCCAACCCGCGUGAAGCUAGCCAGAUGCUACUUACAUCCUUAACAAUAGCUUAAAAUGUUUUAUACUCCCUUCUUUUUUUUAAUUUUACGCUGUUAAAUUUUGGAUCAUCAUUUGCCUUAUCCAAAAUCUGUGUACAAAUAUGCAAAAUAAAGUCAUGCUUAAAGUGUCUUUGGCAAUACAUGGAAUUACAACAAAACAAUUAAUAAUUAUGUAAAUUUUGUGAAUAAGACGAAUGGUCAAAUACAACCAAGAGUCAAAGACGUCAAAUAAAAAAAAGGUUGGAGUGAGUAUUAUUUAGCACAGGAACACAUAGUGUUUCAUUAUACUCUAAUUGAUAAUUAUUUCCUCCAUCCCAAAAUAUAAAGAGUUCUGAAGUUUUGCAUAUAUGUACUAAGGUGGUAGGUGGAGUUAAAUGGUGGAUGACUGUGAAUGGUUGAGAUGAGAAAGUGGAGGGGAGUAUAUUUUGGUACAAAUUUUGAAUGCUAGUAGUUUUAUUUUGGAAUGGAGGGAGCAGCUAGUUCAAGAUUUGAGAACUCAGCAAGCACUGAGCACAUGCCAUAUCUAACUUGCAUUUACAUCUUGGUUGGAAGGGACAUUUAAGCAUUCAUAGCAAAGAGACAUCCCAAAUUCAAAAUUCAGAAACCAGUUAGUCGACUGAGGAAGUGAGAUUCUGCCAAGCACACCUUUAUAAUUACCAGCACACGAGUACAGAAGUCUUACAUUAUUAUUUGCCACAUAGUUCAGCUCGAAUAUUUAACAGCUACACACAAUAACAAAUGCAGGCUAGUUUCUGCAAGAUCGACACUUGAUUUGCUUUACAACCUAGAAGUAUAUACAGACACGUACUUUCUUCUUUUAUUUCUAACCAAGCAACCACAAUC